rnacentral:tRNA from 1 species
GAAAGAGGCCCAAGAGCAGUAAGGACGGCUAAUCCUUCACCCCCGCAUUUAAAUCCCGCGGCUCCUUCA